rnacentral:rRNA from 1 species
CUAAUCCUACGGGGGGUAGCAGUAGGGAAUCUUCCACAAUGGACGAAAGUCUGAUGGAGCAACGCCGCGUGAGUGAAGAAGGGUUUCGGCUCGGAAAGCUCUGUUGGUAGUGAAGAAAGAUAGAGGUAGUAACUGGCCUUUAUUUGACGGUAAUUACUUAGAAAGUCACGGCUAACUACGUGCCAGCAGCCGCGGUAAUACGUAGGUGGCAAGCGUUGUCCGGAUUUAUUGGGCGUAAAGCGAGUGCAGGCGGGUCAAUAAAACUUGU